rnacentral:rRNA from 1 species
UACAGAGGAUGCAAGCGUUAUCCGGAAUGAUUGGGCGUAAAGCGUCUGUAGGUGGCUUUUUAAGUCCGCCGUCAAAUCCCAGGGCUCAACUCUGGACAGGCGGUGGAAACUACCAAGCUGGAGUACGGUAGGGGCAGAGGGAAUUUCCGGUGGAGCGGUGAAAUGCGUAGAUAUCAGGAGGAACACCGAUGGCGAAGGCAGGUCUCUGGGCUGACACUGACGCUCAUGCACGAAAGCGUGGGGAGCAAACAGG